GUUUAGCAGGUUGACAGGAGUUGCAUCAGUUUCUGACAGAGGUUCCUGAAGAAAGUACUGCAAUUAAUCAACAUGAAAUUCGUACUCGUUCUUGCGAUGUUGUUGGCUGUAGCCUUCGCCCUUCCUACACCCAAUGAUGACCUGCAUGCACAAAUUAAAGCUAUUGGUGAGGCCAUCGAGAACAACCCGGAACUAGCCAAUGGAUGGUUGGGUGAUGCCUGGAACUGGGUUAAGAACAACAAGGACGCCCUCGGAACCAUUGCCAGUGGUAUUUUGAAUCUCAGCUGAAUGAAAUAAAACAAUUUCUUUAUAUUGGAGAAUGAAAAUAAAUGUGUUGUUGAUAAGCAAUACUUUAA